AUGACGCUCCUCAGUUGGAACUGCCGGGGUCUCGGGCAACCCCGGACAGUUCAGGAAUUGGUGUGUCUAGUGCACACCUACAAGCCAAAGCUCGUUUUUCUUUCGGAAACACGGCAGAAAAAUAAAUAUGUAAGCAGCCUAAGAUGGAGAUUAGGCCUGAAACACUGCAUCACCCAUGCCGGCAUAGGAAAAGGAGCUGGCAUUGCCUUGUAUUAUGAU
rnacentral:rRNA from 1 species